CUACAAUGAUGGUAGUAUUUUUCAUCAAUAGCAAUUCACCUGGUAAAUGUUGAUACUUUGGGUCUGAAUAA